rnacentral:rRNA from 1 species
AUUGAACGCUGGCGGCAGGCCUAACACAUGCAAGUCGAGCGGAUGAAGGGAGCUUGCUCCUGGAUUCAGCGGCGGACGGGUGAGUAAUGCCUAGGAAUCUGCCUGGUAGUGGGGGAUAACGUCCGGAAACGGGCGCUAAUACCGCAUACGUCCUGAGGGAGAAAGUGGGGGAUCUUCGGACCUCACGCUAUCAGAUGAGCCUAGGUCGGAUUAGCUAGUUGGUGGGGUAAAGGCCUACCAAGGCGAAGAUCCGUAACUUGUCCGGGAGGAUGAUCCGUCACCCCGGAACCUGAACCACGUCCCGGCUCCUUAGGGAGGCCGCAGUGGGGAAUAUUGGACAAUGGGCGAAAGCCUGAUCCAGCCAUGCCGCGUGUGUGAAGAAGGUCUUCGGAUUGUAAAGCACUUUAAGUUGGGAGGAAGGGCAGUAAUUUAAUACCUUGCUGUUUUGACGUUACCAACAGAAUAAGCACCGGCUAACUUCGUG